CCGCUGCCUCCAUGUUAUCAGGCGAGACGGGUGAGUAACACGUGGGUAACCUGCCUGUAAGACUGGGAUAACUCCGGGAAACCGGAGCUAAUACCGGAUAGUUCCUUGAACCGCAUGGUUCAAGGAUGAAAGACGGUUUCGGCUGUCACUUACAGAUGGACCCGCGGCGCAUUAGCUAGUUGGUGGGGUAAUGGCUCACCAAGGCGACGAUGCGUAGCCGACCUGAGAGGGGGAUCGGCCACACUGGGACUGAGACACGGCCCAGACUCCUACGGGAGGCAGCAGUAGGGAAUCUUCCGCAAUGGACGAAAGUCUGACGGAGCAACGCCGCGUGAGUGAUGAAGGUUUUCGGAUCGUAAAGCUCUGUUGUUAGGGAAGAACAAGUGCGAGAGUAACUGCUCGCACCUUGACGGUACCUAACCAGAAAGCCACGGCUAACUACGUGCCAGCAGCCGCGGUAAUACGUAGGUGGCAAGCGUUGUCCGGAAUUAUUGGGCGUAAAGGGCUCGCAGGCGGUUUCUUAAGUCUGAUGUGAAAGCCCCCGGCUCAACCGGGGAGGGUCAUUGGAAACUGGGAAACUUGAGUGCAGAAGAGGAGAGUGGAAUUCCACGUGUAGCGGUGAAAUGCGUAGAGAUGUGGAGGAACACCAGUGGCGAAAGCGACUCUCUGGUCUGUAACUGACGCUGAGGAGCGAAAGCGUGGGGAGCGAACAGGAUUAGAUACCCUGGUAGUCCACGCCGUAACGAUGAGUGCUAAGUGUUAGGGGUUUCCGCCCCUUAGU
rnacentral:rRNA from 1 species